GUAGGGGGCAAGCGUUAUCCGGAUUUACUGGGUGUAAAGGGAGCGUAGACGGAUAAGCAAGUCUGAUGUGAAAAUCCGGGGCUCAACCCCGGAAUUGCAUUGGAAACUGCAUAUCUAGAGUGUCGGAGAGGCAAGUGGAAUUCCUGGUGUAGCGGUGAAAUGCGUAGAUAUCAGGAGGAACACCAGUGGCGAAGGCGGUUUGCUGGACGAUGACUGACGUUGAGGCUCGAAAGCGUGGGGAGCAAA
rnacentral:rRNA from 1 species